UUCUUUUCUUUCUUACAAAAUCACUCUCUUAGAGCUUGCUUCCACUUUGAGGCCUCCAUUCCAUAGUUCUAAUCCUUCUUCCAAACACAAACAAUUUGGAUGGAGUUAGAGGCGGGGAGCAAAAUGUAAAAACCAUAGCAAACUAUUGGAGGAAAAUGGCUAUUUUUAAAGGUUUGGGGCAAAACCGUUAAAGUGACCAAACCACAGGGAGCAAAACGGAAGUUUACUCAAAAAAAUAUAUAGGAAGAGUUAGGGGUUGCAUAAAGGAGGAUUGGAAGGUGCUCAUUCAAAGGAUUGGAAAACUAGAGAUCGAAGAUUAUUUGCUUAAAGUUUAAAGCUUUCGGUUAGGAACUUUUUUCUUUAUUUCUUCCUAUUAAACUCCGAUAGUAUGAACAUGAUUUGUUGUCUAAUUCAGACUUGCUUUUCGUUCUUGACUAUGGAUUUUUAUUGGAUAUCGAUUAAUGUUUAUGGAUAGUUAUUAAAGUAGAGAACUUGGUAAUGUUGAUUUGAUAUGUACGAAUCUUAA
rnacentral:lncRNA from 1 species